rnacentral:tRNA from 1 species
AGGAUUAUAGUUAAUUAUAACAUUUGAUUUGCAUUCAAAAAGUAUUGACAAAAUCAGUUAAUCUUA